AAGGCUUUAAGUUAAAUAAACUAAUAGCCUUCAAAGCUAUAAAUAUAGAAAUCUCUUUAAGCCUUA
rnacentral:tRNA from 1 species